UACGGAGGAUGCAAGCGUUAUCCGGAAUGAUUGGGCGUAAAGCGUCCGCAGGUGGCCAUGUAAGUCUGCUGUCAAAGCGUCUGGCUCAACCAGAUAAAGGCAGUGGAAACUACAUAGCUAGAGUAAGGUAGGGGUAGAGGGAAUUCCUGGUGUAGCGGUGAAAUGCGUAGAGAUCAGGAAGAACACCGGUGGCGAAAGCGCUCUGCUGGACCUUAACUGACACUGAGGGACGAAAGCUAGGGGAGCGAAUGGG
rnacentral:rRNA from 1 species